ACCAAUCACGCUGUAGUAGGUUGCUGAUUGGUUGACAAAUAUCUGACGUAAUAUUGACGUUUCAAAAGACUAACAUCCAAUCAAGGCAAUUCAUGCAAAUAAAGGAAGGAAUCAGAUUACUAGCUGCCGGGGAGACUUAAGCGCGCCCUCACGUGUUCAGUGGUGGAUAUUGCACAGAUGCCUGCACAGUGAAUAAACGCAGCAAAAUAUUCAACUCCACAGUUCGCCUUCACCGUUCCCAAACUUUUAUGUCACUGGAAUAUAAUCAUCCGUCUUAAAAAACCAAGAGUUUUGUCGCGCACAUAUAUGACAGUUUAGAUUAGAAAUCUAUGCUCUGUAACUGCGGACUUCCAGCGCAGACAAUUUCCCUCUCCAUUUUUACCAACACAGGGAAUCUCUGUCUUUAAAUUUAUCCUUAGAGAGGGAGGUUGUUUUCCCCCUUGAUUUCAAAAGGACGAGAUUUACAAAGCCUUUCCAGGCACAGAUGGUCGAUAAAUUUAGUUCCUUCAGCGAAAUUCCGCAUGGCACCGCCAGAUGGCACAAGGAUCGCCUUCCAAUCUCCGUACCAACCCCACCCCUGUACUCCGGCGGACCUUUCCCAGGAAUCAAGUUUAGCUCUUAGAACCACCCCAGGGUGGCUGACGGACAGAGCAAUAAAACUGACUGAAUCUUGCUCCUUUCCAUAUUAAUGGAACCAUUUGCUGCUGUGGAACUGAAGGUAAAGAACAGGACUGAUUUUUAAGAUAGAGAAUUUUCCAGCAAUUCAUCUUGAACACAGAACUCCAGGAUUCCUUAUUCUCUGUGACUCUUCCUGUU